rnacentral:rRNA from 1 species
UACAGAGGUCUCAAGCGUUGUUCGGAUUCAUUGGGCGUAAAGGGUGCGUAGGUGGCGCCGUAAGUCGGGUGUGAAAUUUCGGAGCUUAACUCCGAAACUGCAUUCGAUACUGCGGUGCUUGAGGACUGGAGAGGAGACUGGAAUUUAUGGUGUAGCAGUGAAAUGCGUAGAGAUCAUAAGGAAGACCAGUGGCGAAGGCGGGUCUCUGGACAGUUCCUGACGCUGAGGCACGAAAGCCAGGGGAGCAAACGGG